CUUGAAACUCGUACAAGCGUACCAUGAAACUUUCAGAUGAAUAGCUCGAGCGUUAGUUUAAUCGGAGUUCGAGGAAUCAGGAUGAAUGAUUUAAGGGUCGAACGUGAGUGAAUGAUCUGUGGAAGUUCUCGAUCCAAGUGCGACUGGAAAAAGUGUAUUCAACGAUUGGUAAUAGUUCGACGUAAAGAUCUUGCCUCGUCCACUUCGUAAAUUAAGUACUCGAUCCAUCGAGUGUAAUAAUUGAAGCCUAGAGUGGAUGACUUCCUAGAGAAAUAUCCAAGGAGAAUAUAUUUAAGGAAAUCAAAGAUUGCUAGUACUUAAAAAAAGUGCGCUCGUGAAAGAUACUUGAAUUGGGAUAAAAUUGAUUUCUGGCAAUGAUCAGAAAAUCAAUUUAUUAUACAAUAGAACUGAAGCAUCGGUACUGUGAAGGAAUAGACAAAACAUUCUAUUGAGAAUGACAUCGAAACAACGUCUGUCUCGGGAAUCAAGUGCUGUCACUCGAUGCAAAGAUUGAGCGAAAGUUCAGAAAAUCAUUUUACUAAGCAUUUGACUUUUAGAAAGGAAACCGUACGACUUCAGGAAAGGAAGAAUCGCAGAUACCGUCUACCUUCUGAAUUAAGCGUCGUCAGACGAUAUCAAAUACUGAACAAGAGUUUAGAAAAUGAAGGAACAGGACCGUCGAGACUUUUUCUCGAAAUAGAAUUUGCAGUUCAGUGAAAUCACGGAAUAACAACGGACCCAGGUUCAGUGAGGUCCUCGAAGUGAAAGAGCGCCGUCGGAGGAUCGCGCGACGGGAUGACGGGAGGCGGA